AGCCAGUGCAAUAUCAAAUUUCGGGAAAAUGAAAGGUCUGCUAAUCCUUCUUGCGUGUGUCGUUGCCACGGCAACAGUUGAUGGUUAUGUUGUACCAGUGGUCCGUUACUUACGCCCCGUGAUCUUCCGUCCUCGGCCCGUCGUAAAUAACUACAGGGCGGUUCAGCGAACAGUGAGACCGAAAUCCAACAGCUACAACCCCGUUUCCGGAGGUUCUGAUGCAUUUGAUUAUGCCGUGUCUGGUAGUUUGGGAUCAAUACUGAGCCUCUGAGCCUUCGAGCCUCUGAGCCUCUGAGACUCCAGGAGGCCGUGUCAAGACAGAUAUUGCCGGAGAAAUGAACCCAGUUGACAAUUUGUCAUAUUUGGUAUAUUAAACAUUUGUA